CUCUCUCUCUCUCUCUCUCUCUCUCGGAUUCCGGUCGUCUUCCUCCUCAAAACUCAACUCAAACCGAACGAUCACGUGGCUCUCCGAUAGCCGCCGGUGUUCCUAGCCUUCUUCUCGUACGGUGUCCUACCCGGCCCAUCCGCUUCUUCUUCUUAGAGAUUUCCACAUUGAGACAUUGAGUUGCUUGGGCAGCUCUCAUCAUAUUGGUGUGGAAGAUCAGGUUGAUCAUUUUGGCAUGUGUUCCGCGGAGAAUUCCAUGGGUAGGUAUGAUCAUAUUCCAAAAGAAGCCAAGGAGAUUUUACAAUCAUUGGCUACCAAGUGGGAAAAUGUGGCAGAUUCAACUGCGUUGCAGGUGAUCCCUCUCAAGGGUGCAAUGACCAAUGAGGUGUUCCAAAUAAAGUGGCCAACAAGCACCGGGGAAGUUUCACGUAAAGUUUUGGUUAGGAUUUACGGUGAGGGUGUUGAGGUGUUCUUUGACAGGGACAAUGAGAUCCGGACAUUUGAGUACAUGUCAAAGAACGGACAGGGGCCUCGUCUGCUGGGGCGUUUUCCUAAUGGCCGUAUUGAAGAGUUCAUCCAUGCAAGGACACUUUCAGCAUCUGAUCUUCGUGAUCCAGAUAUAUCUGCUCUUAUAGCUGCUAAAUUGAAGGAGUUCCAUGAUCUUGAGAUGCCCGGUCCAAAGGAUGUCAUCCUCUGGGGCAGAUUGAGAAAUUGGCUCAAUACAGCCAAGAGAUUGUGUAGUCCAGAAGAAGCUAAUGAAUUUCAGUUAGAUUCCAUUCAAGAGGAAAUCUCUGUAUUGGAAAAGGAGCUCUCAGUGCCUAAUCAGCAGAUUGGUUUCUGCCACAAUGAUCUACAGUACGGUAACAUAAUGAUUGAGGAAGAAAGUAAAGCGAUAACAAUAAUUGAUUAUGAGUAUGCAAGUUAUAAUCCUAUUGCAUUUGACAUAGCAAACCAUUUCUGUGAGAUGGCCGCUGAUUAUCACACUGACGCCCCACAUAUUUUGAACUAUAAUAAAUAUCCUGGCUUAGAGGAGCGCAAGAGGUUUGUUCAUUUGUAUCUGAGUUCUUCAGGGAAUCAACCCAGCGACAAUGAAUUGGAGCAGCUAGUUCAAGAUGUUGAGAAGUAUACCCUUCCAGAUCAUCUGUUCUGGGGAUUAUGGGGAAUAAUAUCGGAACAUGUGAAUGAAAUUGAUUUUGACUACUUGGAAUAUGCGAAGCAGAGGUUUCAGCAAUACUGGAGAACCAAAGCUUCAGUAUUGGGUUCUGUUGGAUCCUCACCAGAGUCCUCUUAAGUUCUAUUCACUUGUAGUGAAUUAUCUAGUUGGUUAUAUACAGACUCCUUUGGAUUUGACUAGAUUGCAGAGUAGGUUUAGGUUUAAGCUGCGCCUUCACCUCCUCAAACGGCUCAAAAACCACACCGGUCACCGGCCGGUUGUUCGCGCUCUUUGCCACCGAGCAGACCACGCUCCCGAUGUCAUUCCUCGUCGGCGAUGACCGGAUAGACACUCCACGAGUGUUUGUCUAUUUC